rnacentral:rRNA from 1 species
CCGGCGCACGGGUGAGUAACACGUAUCCAACCUGCCGUCUACUCUUGGACAGCCUUCUGAAAGGAAGAUUAAUACAAGAUGGCAUCAUGAGUCCGCAUGUUCACAUGAUUAAAGGUAUUCCGGUAGACGAUGGGGAUGCGUUCCAUUAGAUAGUAGGCGGGGUAACGGCCCACCUAGUCUUCGAUGGAUAGGGGUUCUGAGAGGAAGGUCCCCCACAUUGGAACUGAGACACGGUCCAAACUCCUACGGGAGGCAGCAUGC